CGACCGGCAAACGGGUGCGGAACACGUACACAACCUUCCGAUAAGUGGGGAAUAGCCCAGAGAAAUUUGGAUUAAUACCCCGUAACAUAUAGAGUAGGCAUCUUCUUUAUAUUAUAGCUUCGGCGCUUAUUGAUGGGUGUGCGUCUGAUUAGGUAGUUGGCGGGGUAACGGCCCACCAAGCCUACGAUCAGUAGCUGAUGUGAGAGCAUGAUCAGCCACACGGGCACUGAGACACGGGCCCG
rnacentral:rRNA from 1 species